rnacentral:RNase_P_RNA from 1 species
ACGUUCGGGUAAUCGCUGGAGAAUAACAUUCUUUAGAGGAAAGUCCAUGCUCGCACGGACUGAGAUGUCCGUAGUGUUCGUGCCUAGCGAAAAAAUAAGCUAGGGUAGUCUGGUCUUACUGGACUAACGGCAGGGAAAAAGCCUAAGUCUUUAUGGAUAUGGCUUGAAUACCUUGAAAGUGCCACAGUGACGUAGUCUUGUAAGAAAUUACAAGGGUGGAACGGGUAAACCCCUCGAGCGAGAAACCCAAAUUUGGUAGGGGCACCUUCUCUUAGGAACUGAACAAGGAGAAGGACAGAGCAAUUCUGUAGAUAGAUGAUUACCACCUCGUACAAGGCAGUUGCCGUUUGUAGUACUUGGAACAAAACAUGGCUUAUAGAA